UACAGAGGUCUCAAGCGUUGUUCGGAUUCAUUGGGCGUAAAGGGUGCGUAGGCGGCGCGGUAAGUCGGGUGUGAAAUCUCGGAGCUUAACUCCGAAACUGCAUUCGAUACUGCCGUGCUUGAGGACUGGAGAGGAGACUGGAAUUUACGGUGUAGCGGUGAAAUGCGUAGAUAUCGUAAGGAACACCAGUGGCGAAGGCGACUACCUGGCCUGUUCUUGACGCUGAGGCGCGAAAGCUAGGGGAGCAAACGGG
rnacentral:rRNA from 1 species